rnacentral:rRNA from 1 species
UUUGAGAGUUUGAUCCUAGCUCAGGGUGAACGCUGGUAACGUGGAUAAGGCAUGCAAGUCGUGCGCCUCACUUCGUUUCGGCGUAAACUCCUUUAAAAAGAGUUUACUCCGAGCGUAGCGAGGAGCGGCGAACGGGUUAGUAACACGUGAGUACAAACCCCAAAGACGGGCAUAAUCCGCCGAAGGGCGGACUAAUUCCCGAUAGUCCCGCAAGGGUAAAGGAGUAAUCCACUUUGGGAUUGGCUCGCGUCCUAUCAGUUAGUUGGUGGGGUAACGGCCUACCAAGACUAUGACGGGUAGGGGGCGUGAGAGCGCGGCCCCCAACAGCGGUACUGCGACACGGACCGCACUCCUACGGGAGGCAGCAGUCGAGAAUCUUCCACAAUGGGCGAAAGCCUGAUGGAGCGACGUUACGUGAGCGAAGAAACCCUUCGGGGCGUAAAGCUCUUUUGCGUGAGAAGAACUCGCAAGAGUGACGUUAUCACGCGAAUAAGGGGAGCCUAAUUCUGUGCCAGCAGGAGCGGUAAUACAGAAUCCCCAAGCGUUACCCGGAUUUAUUGGGCGUAAAGCGUCUGUAGGUGGUCGGAAAAGUCUCUGGUUAAAACUCAUUGGCUUAACCUUUGAACUGCGAGAGAAACUCUCCGACUUGAGGACGUUAGAGGCUAAUGGAACCGACGGUGUAGGGGUGAAAUCCGUUGAUAUCGUCGGGAACACCAAAAGCGAAGGCAGUUAGCUGGAACGAUCCUAACACUGAGAGACGAAAGCGUGGGGAGCAAAAAGGAUUAGAUACCCUUGUAGUCCACGCUGUAAACGAUGGACACUAGUUAUUGGCAGUGUCGACCCUGUCAGUGACGAAGCUAACGCGUUAAGUGUCCCGCCUGGGAAGUACGGUGGCAACACUAAAACUCAAAGGAAUAGACGGGGACUCACACAAGCGGUGGAUCAUGUGGCUUAAUUCGACGACAAACGAAGAACCUUACCAGGGUUAGAAAUCCCGUUGAAGUUCUGUUGAAAGAUGGAACGCUCACAAGGCAACGGGACAGGUGCUGCAUGGUUGUCGUCAGCUCGUGUCGUGAGACGUACCGUUAAUUCGGAUAACGAGCGCAACCCUUGCCCUAUGUUUUAUAUGUCAUAGGGGACUGCCCGAGACAAUCGGGAGGAAGGUGAGGAUGACGCCAAAUCAGCAUGGCCCUCUGAUGCCCUGGGCCGCACACAUGAUACAAUGGCCGGUACAAUGGGUUGCUAAGCGGCAACGCGGAGCUAAUCCCACCAAAGCCGGUCUCAGUUCGGAUCGAAGGCUGAAACCCGACUUCGUGAAGCUGGAAUCGCUAGUAAUCGCCGAUCAGCUAUGCGGCGAUGAAUAUGUCCCUGAGUCUUGUACUCACCGCCCGUCAAGCCAAGCGAGCUGGGAAUGGUCAAAGUC